UUUUAUGGAUAAGCAAAGGAAGUGAUUUCUUGAAAUGGAAUCUACUCUUGGUGAAGAUGCUCUGAA
rnacentral:pre_miRNA from 1 species